AGAUCAUCAUUGGGCAUAAAGCGUGCGCAGGCGGUUUUGUAAGACGGAGGUGAAAUCCCCGGGCUCAACCUGGGAACUGCCUUUGUGACUGCAAGGCUGGAGUGCGGCAGAGGGGGAUGGAAUUCCGCGUGUAGCAGUGAAAUGCGUAGAUAUGCGGAGGAACACCGAUGGCGAAGGCAAUCCCCUGGGCCUGCACUGACGCUCAUGCACGAAAGCGUGGGGAGCAAACA
rnacentral:rRNA from 1 species